AACGCGAAGAACCUUACCUACCCUUGACAUCCUGCGAAUCCCGAUGAGAGUUGGGAGUGCCGAAAGGAACGCAGAGACAGGUGCUGCAUGGCUGUCGUCAGCUCGUGUUGUGAGAUGUUGGGUUAAGUCCCGUAACGAGCGCAACCCUUGUCCUUAGUUGCCAGCAUUAAGUUGGGGACUCUAAGGAGACUGCCGGUGAUGAACCGGAGGAAGGCGGGGACGACGUCAAGUCAUCAUGGCCUUUAUGGGUAGGGCCACACACGUGCUACAAUGGGGCAUACAGAGGGUCGCCAACCAGCAAUGGGGAGCCAAUCUCAGAAAGUGCCUCGUAGUCCGGAUUGGAGUCUGCAACUCGACUCCAUGAAGUUGGAAUCGCUAGUAAUCGCGAAUCAGCUAUGUCGCGGUGAAUACGUUCCCGGGCCUUGUA
rnacentral:rRNA from 1 species